rnacentral:rRNA from 4 species
GGGGUACUGUACGUGGUAGAGUAGCCUUGUUGCUACGAUCCACUGAGGUUAAGCCCUUGUUCUAAAGAUUUGUUC